UACGUAGGGUGCGAGCGUUAAUCGGAAUUACUGGGCGUAAAGCGUGCGCAGGCGGUUCGUUGUGUCGGCGGUGAAAGCCCCGGGCUUAACCUGGGAAUGGCCGUCGAAAACUGGCGAACUGGAGUGUGGCAGAGGGGGGGUGGAAUUCCGCGUGUAGCAGUGAAAAUGCGUAGAGAUGCGGGAGGAACACCGAUGGCGAGGCGCCCCCCUGGGCUGACACU
rnacentral:rRNA from 1 species